AGGGUUUGAUCAUGGCUCAGAGUGAACGCUGGCGGUAGGCCUAACACAUGCAAGUCGAACGGCAGCACAGAGGAGCUUGCUCCUUGGGUGGCGAGUGGCGGACGGGUGAGGAAUACAUCGGAAUCUACUCUGUCGUGGGGGAUAACGUAGGGAAACUUACGCUAAUACCGCAUACGACCUACGGGUGAAAGCAGGGGAUCUUCGGACCUUGCGCGAUUGAAUGAGCCGAUGUCGGAUUAGCUAGUUGGCGGGGUAAAGGCCCACCAAGGCGACGAUCCGUAGCUGGUCUGAGAGGAUGAUCAGCCACACUGGAACUGAGACACGGUCCAGACUCCUACGGGAGGCAGCAGUGGGGAAUAUUGGACAAUGGGCGCAAGCCUGAUCCAGCCAUACCGCGUGGGUGAAGAAGGCCUUCGGGUUGUAAAGCCCUUUUGUUGGGAAAGAAAUCCAGCCGGCUAAUACCUGGUUGGGAUGACGGUACCCAAAGAAUAAGCACCGGCUAACUUCGUGCCAGCAGCCGCGGUAAUACGAAGGGUGCAAGCGUUACUCGGAAUUACUGGGCGUAAAGCGUGCGUAGGUGGUUAUUUAAGUCCGUUGUGAAAGCCCUGGGCUCAACCUGGGAACUGCAGUGGAUACUGGAUGACUAGAAUGUGGUAGAGGGUAGCGGAAUUCCUGGUGUAGCAGUGAGAUGCGUAGAGAUCAGGAGGAACAUCCAUGGCGAAGGCAGCUACCUGGACCAACAUUGACACUGGAGGGCACGAAAGCG
rnacentral:rRNA from 1 species